GGCUGCUGCAGCCCGGGCGGCUGCGCAGAAGGAGGGAGGGGAAACACAAAGCCGGCUACGCGCUGCGAGCUGUGAAAGUGAAGUUUGGCUUGAAAACACGUUCUGCCAGUGCAAAUCCAAAAAGUAUCAAGACAGGAUUCUUCUACUAUAAUAACCAACUGAUAACAAGAGUAAUCCACAGACUUAAAACAUGAGCUCAGAUGCCAGCCAAGGUGUGAUUACCACUCCUCCUCCUCCCAGCAUGCCUCACAAAGAGAGAUAUUUUGACCGCAUCAAUGAAAAUGACCCAGAAUACAUUAGGGAGAGGAACAUGUCUCCUGAUCUACGACAAGACUUCAACAUGAUGGAGCAGAGGAAACGAGUUACUCAGAUCCUGCAAAGUCCUGGCCAGUGGUAUUCUAUUUCCAAAUGAGUACAUUUCUUAAUGGAGAAAUUCUAAGCCUUUCGGGAAGACUUGGAAUGCCUUAUUCAAGAACAGAUGAAGAAAGGCCACAACCCAACUGGAUUACUAGCAUUACAGCAGAUUGCAGAUUACAUCAUGGCCAAUUCUUUCUCGG
rnacentral:sRNA from 1 species